UAACCAGGGAAUCACAAAGGAAAGCCCUAUAAUAGCAAUGUAACACAAUGUGAAAGCCAAUUAGAAUAAAGCCAGCUCGAGAGCACUGACGGCUUGGAAAAAUGUGGCUAUAAAAGUUACCUAAAAGACGAUGUUUUAAAUUCAAUAAAAUAAGGGUUAUCCUUAUAAACAUGUUGUAAUAAGAAUCUUGGGUUUUACCCAUGUGAUUAUAAAAAUAAAAUAUGGUGGUUUUACUCUGA